GGUUCUAUGGUGUAAUGGUUAGCACUUUGGACUUUGAAUCCAACAAUCCGAGUUCAAGUCUCGGUAGAACCU
rfam:Folsomia candida strain VT population Fcan01_Sc001, whole genome shotgun sequence.